AUUGAACGCUGGCGGCAGGCCUAACACAUGCAAGUAGAACGAGUGGCGGACGGGUGAGUAAUGUCUGGGAAACUGACUGAUGGAGGGGGAUAACUACUGGAAACGGUAGCUAAUACCGCAUACCAUCAGAUGUGCCCAGAUGGGAUUAGCUUGUUGGUGGGGUAACGGCUCACCAAGGCGACGAUCCCUAGCUCGGCUGAGAGGAUGACCAGCCACACGCGAACUGAGACAGUAUCCAGCCUCCUACGGGAGGCAGCAGUGGGGAAUAUUGCACAAUGGGCGCAAUCCUGCUGCGACCAUGCCGCGUGUAUACAGAAGGCCUUCCCGUUGUCAAGUACUUUCAGCGGGGAGGCGUUACCCGCAGAAGAAGCACCGGCUAACUCCGUGCCAGCAGCCGCGGUAAUUC
rnacentral:rRNA from 1 species